UGCAGUCGAACGGUAACAGGUCUUCGGAUGCUGACGAGUGGCGAACGGGUGAGUAAUACAUCGGAACGUGCCCGAGAGUGGGGGAUAACGAGGCGAAAGCUUUGCUAAUACCGCAUACGAUCUCAGGAUGAAAGCAGGGGACCGCAAGGCCUUGCGCUCACGGAGCGGCCGAUGGCAGAUUAGGUAGUUGGUGGGAUAAAAGCUUACCAAGCCGACGAUCUGUAGCUGGUCUGAGAGGACGACCAGCCACACUGGGACUGAGACACGGCCCAGACUCCUACGGGAGGCAGCAGUGGGGAAUUUUGGACAAUGGGCGCAAGCCUGAUCCAGCCAUGCCGCGUGCAGGAUGAAGGCCUUCGGGUUGUAAACUGCUUUUGUACGGAACGAAAAGACUCUGGUUAAUACCUGGGGUCCAUGACGGUACCGUAAGAAUAAGCACCGGCUAACUACGUGCCAGCAGCCGCGGUAAUACGUAGGGUGCGAGCGUUAAUCGGAAUUACUGGGCGUAAAGCGUGCGCAGGCGGUUAUGUAAGACAGAUGUGAAAUCCCCGGGCUCAACCUGGGAACUGCAUUUGUGACUGCAUAGCUAGAGUACGGCAGAGGGGGAUGGAAUUCCGCGUGUAGCAGUGAAAUGCGUAGAUAUGCGGAGGAACACCGAUGGCGAAGGCAAUCCCCCUGGGCCUGUACUGACGCUCAUG
rnacentral:rRNA from 1 species